GGGGACUUAGUUUAACGGCAGAAUAGUGCUCUCCAAAAGCAUUGAUGGGGGUUCGAUUCCCUCAGUCCCCG
rnacentral:tRNA from 1 species